rnacentral:pre_miRNA from 1 species
ACAACAACAUUCGGACCGUCGGUCUACCGAGCAAUAUCACCCGCUCGGUGGAAGAUCUUCCUUUUGUCGUAUAUC